CAGCAUGUUUCCAAGGGCUUUGGCUGAGUUAUGAUCAUGGAAUCUCCAACUAUAUCACAGAGUGAAAUGGAGACACUCUGAACUAUACAUAUAGUUCAGGUCAGCACAGUAACUGUGGCUGUUACUCAUCUUUCUUAGAUGC